rnacentral:misc_RNA from 1 species
UAUCCGUAGGUGAACCUGCGGAAGGAUCAUUAAUGAGUUGUCAUGGGGUUCGAUGCUGGCAGCCAAUUUUUGGAUGCAUGUGCUUGCCCUAACAAUCAUCUUCCAAACACCUGUGCACAUUUUUGAGGGAGUCUUGAGUUGGUUGCCGCUCUUGGGUGAUUUUCUCACAUUCCCUUAAAUCAUUAUACGCUAUUAACAAUGUUGAACGUGCUCUGUGCCGCAAGGCUAUUAAUAUAAUACAACUUUUAACAACGGAUCUCUUGGCUCUC